UCAUUUGCUCGAAGCAUUACUUGUCUUUACAUGCGAGGACACUGGUUGAAUGAGAAAUACACAUUUUGUUGAUUGUCGUCCUUGUAUAAAUAUAUAUUAGUAAAAAUAAAGACAUAAAAUCAAUAAUCCCACACACUUCGACAUAAUACACGUUGCCCAUGCCACUGGAGAAGAUAGUGUGGCUUGUCAAUAUCAGCAUAUAGUACUAAUAUUCCGUGGUUAGUCCCUGCAAAAGGAAAGAGCAAUCACAUAAGUAUUUCAUGCUGCAUUUGCAAACUAAAGCCACAAAAAUACAUAACAAAAUCACAAGGUACUCACCCAAAAGCUUAGUUUUUUCUAUAUUGGCCUCACUUUGUCAUCAAAUGCUAACAGUAACAUCCCAUUUUAGUUUCAUAAUUCUUCCUAUAUGUCUAGUAAUCUGAAAAAAAAGUGUCUACAAAAUCACAUCAGAUUGUUAGUACAAAUCAUAUCAAUUUUUUACUGGAUAUGCACAUACUCCCUCCAUCCUAUAAUAUAAGAUGUAUAUUGGUUGUAGUAACAUCUUAUAUUAGGGACGGAGGGAGUAGAAAUUAUUUCUCCAUUUGAUUCAUCUCCACGCUCCAUAAUUGGCAUCCAUCUACAAGCACAAGCCAAUUGUGGCAAGAAGGUCUUUGUAAUGCAGCGUGCACCAAGUGUUUUAGAAGAUCUACGAUGAUGCACGCCUACGAAUUCAGGCCCGAGUUUAUGGGUUGUACAUUCGGAGAAAGGGGUGUUUGUUGGCCAAUGUGCCUCUUCUUUCAUGCUUGCGCCCAGUUUGCCCCCUACGGGGGGAUGUUUGCGUCCACCCACACGUGUACAUUAUGUUCUUCUCAUCUUUAAUGCAACGAGGCUAAAGUGCUUCUUGCCGUUUCACCAAAAGAGCCAAUUUCAAGUUUUUUAAAUACAGAAAUAAUUCGCAUAGACAUUAGGAUCAUGAAAAUGAUAAUGAAAAGAGCCAAUUUCAAGAUUUCUAAAUACAGAAACACUUCACAUUAACUGACUAAUGCCUUUUGGUACUCCUAAUCAUUUUAACACAAACUAUGUAUGUCAUUGGCAGCACAAAAUAAUUGAGAGCCUAUAUAUAUAAUCAAUUACAUUUCGGAGAAAUAUAAUAAUGUAAGUUACCUCAAGUGAGAAAUGUACUUCCCCUCAACUGCCCUGCUCUUUCCUCUAUCUUCCUCUAAGUUAGCCUCUGGAAAUUGUUAACAACACUGCAUAUCAGAAAAUUUGUUAGACAAGGGCAUAAGUUGUGAAUACUCCUGCAUAGACAAAAUAACUGAGAGAAGGAGGCUAGAGAGGAUAUGUCAAUAUACCCUAGGAUGUUGAAAGCUCUUUAUUUCAGAGUCACGGCAAAGAAGAUGGAACAUACGGCUAAAAUCUAACAUCUUUCUUAGUUGUACAAACCUAUGAAAAUGAGGAAGUAGUGCAAAUGCAAAGAAUGCCGGAAAAAACACAACCACGAGACAAGCAAUUUAUUAACUACCUUGGUAAUGAUAGAACAUUACAGAGUUCAUGAGCUCUAUACCAUCAGGUGGCGACAUGGUCCUGCA
rnacentral:lncRNA from 1 species